rnacentral:rRNA from 1 species
AACGCGAAGAACCUUACCAGGUCUUGACAUACCAGUGCUAUUCUUAGAGAUAAGAAGUUACUUCGGUACACUGGAUACAGGCGGUGCAUGGUUGUCGUCAGCUCGUGUCGUGAGAUGUUGGGUUAAGUCCCGCAACGAGCGCAACCCCUAUUGUUAGUUGCCAUCAUUAAGUUGGGCACUCUAGCGAGACUGCCGGUAAUAAACCGGAGGAAGGUGGGGAUGACGUCAAAUCAUCAUGCCCCUUAUGACCUGGGCUACACACGUGCUACAAUGGUUGGUACAACGAGUCGCAAGCUAGUGAUAGCAAGCUAAUCUCUUAAAGCCAAUCUCAGUUCGGAUUGUAGGCUGCAACUCGCCUACAUGAAGUCGGAAUCGCUAGUAAUCGCGGAUCAGCACGCCGCGGUGAAUACGUUCCCGGGUCUUGUACACACCG